CUGCACUCCCUGGGAAGAAAACAGAGCUGGGAGGCUCCCUGUUCUAGGAAAGAGCUAAUCAAAUGAUCCAACCGCUCUGCUCCUCGUUUGGAACCCCGAGAGAGAAAGAAAAAAAAAAAGCCACAAGCAUGGUGCAAAGCCAAAUGUCCAGCUGGGGAAAAUGUGCUUCCUCCGUCAACUGUGAAGCGUUUCAAGACCCUUAAAUAGCACAUCCUCAAGAAACAAGACAACGCUCAGUUACUUUACAAAUGAAUAACCUAAAGAUGUGGACGGUUCAGCAGGCUGAAACUCGUGUAUAAUGGAAUGCUGUAAGGACAAGCCCUCUCCUGAUCAAGGACAUCCUCAGCUCCCAGGGCCACCCUCUUGACUUGGAGUUACUGGGGACUUUUACAAGCCCCUCUUGAUCCUGAAGUGGUACAGCACAGAUGCUCGUAUAGAAUGCAGAACCACAGCUGGAUACUGGACUGGAGGAGGAGCAAAAGAUGCUUGGUGUGUUCAGAGAAUCCGGAGCGGAGGAGAAGAAAGCGAGUUGCCUAACGGUACUGAGUGAGCGUUGAGAGCAGCUGGAGAAGUCUGCAAAGGCCCAAGAUGAGCUGUUUCCUCCCACCACACACAGGAGGGUCGUGGGGAGAAACACUUUGACUUCUCACACGCAAGGGCCCCAGUGCGGCCCACAGACUCUUUAAUAGCUUGAACUAAAUGUGCAGACUCCUUUCCCAGCCUUCUCCACCUGGGCAUUACGAUCAUUUCCCUGCAGUUUUGAACAUGUCAUUUGGUUUUAAUUUGUUUAACUAUGUGAAUCUCAUGGGUUUUGGAUUAGGCAAGAAGCUUCCUUGCAAUUAAGUCCAUGAUACACCUCAAAACUAAAAACAAAAAAGUCUUAAACCCAUCUUAUGCUGCCGAAAAAGAAAAUUCUAUGUAUCCCCCCCAUUUUACGAUUUCUCUUUGAAAGAAGAAAGAUAAAGACAUUUUUCUUU